GACAAUAAAGCAAAGGAACGUUUCCUUCGCUUCCGUCUCCCUGUCCUCGCCUCCGCUCGCCGCUUCGCAAUGGCGAGCGCGGCGACGGCGAACGGCAACUCAUACAACCAUACUGCCCCUCCUCCCCCUCGCGCUCCCAUGGCGUCCCCUACGAGGGCGUCUCCUCCAAUGUAGUCGCGGGAGGGCGGCGCCGCCGCCACCACCAACGGCAGACAGGGUGGAGCCAGGCAUGUAUUCAUCACUAUCCUUAGUUUCCUACCACUGGCGACGAGAGGUGCACAGAAGGUUAGGGUCUUGGGAGCAGACUUAUCCAUGUAUACAUCUCGACGGCGUAUACGGAGGCGCCGGAGUAUCGCACGGAUCUAUGGCAUUCUUGGCGCCGGCCGCUCGGUGUGUUCUUGAUAAAUUUUGCAAUGUUAUUUUUUCUAGAGUGUAAUUUGUUGUGCGGAGGAUCUUCGUGAAUUCUCCAAUGUUUGAAACCUUUUAACUUCUUUUUUCUCGAGUUUUUUGGUGAUUUCAUAGACUAGAAAACAACAGUAGGGGACUGAAAGGUGGGUGUAUUUUGAGGUAAUUCUUAUGUGGGUUCUUGAGUGGCCACAGACCCACAGUGUGGUUGAUUGAUUCUGAAGUCCAUACCUUGUGAGAUCAUGCUCACUGCUGUUUUUUACAACCUCCAGUUUGCUUGAAUGGUACCUGUGGACUGUGGUUGAAUUCUUGGAAUGCUCUUCUGCACAGGGGUCAAGGUCUGGUAACCUGAAAUUGUUCAUUCAUGUGAUAUCGCUUAAGGCCAAGCCAUGAUAAGGUAGCUCAUUUUCUUUUUUCCGAAUGCGCGCUUGAUUGGGAAAUGUGGUUCGAUUUGUGCGCUGUUUGUUGCAGUUACUGAAUAUGUUUGGUUGGUCUGCUGAUAAUAAGAAGCCGUGGACUGGAUCUGGCAUUGUGCGGAACGGAGCCAGUUUUUCACCCUAAGUUUUACAGCUACCAGACUACCAUUGAUCCUUUCGUGUCAGCAGAUACGCUAUAACAGCAGAGAGCACACAUCAAUCGUCGUGCUUGGCAUGUGUUGCAACUUUCAGUUAUGGCGGUAAUCUGUUUUAAGUUUUAACUCAUGCUCAAGAGUUUGUCUUUGUACCCGCGUUUUCUUCUUUUACCGACUGCGAUUGCGCAUGAUGAGCAAUUAUUUCCUCGCGGUUGAGCUUUCAUGGGGACGGCUGAAACCAUCAUUCAGAAAGAGGAAAACCAUCUUUAAUCAUGGUGGAUACGCAACGGCGCGGCCGAGCAGAGCAAAGCUCUGCGCCACCGCUCGUCCGACGGCGCGCACGGCCAUCGACUUUGCAGUUCUUGUGGAUGGGCGCACCUCUUUCCCCGCCGGCAAUGAUGGGCUGUGGAGCGAGCGUCGAGGCAUCCGGUCAGAGGCUCACGCUCCCCCUCUUUCAGUUAGUGCCGGCCGGACCCAAUAGCUCUGCAAUUAUUUCGGGAAAAUGCCGGUCCGCUCGUUGCCUGGCGCUCAGUGACUGACGACGACCCCGCGUUCUGUAUCUGGGUGGGCUACAAGCCUGGCUCCGAUGAGCUCUGCGCCGUCCAGUUAUUUAGACGGGUGCCUUUCUUUCCUUUUUUUUUUUGCGGGUGCCUUUCUUUCCGGUGAUUCAUCAUUUGCAGAGCUCCGGUGGGUAGCUGUGCGAUGGAACUGCGUUCUCCUCUGCUUCGCAACUGGUUACAAAUUACGAUGUGCUCGAGUGUUUAGGUCUUGUUUGCGGACAGUGGGGCAAAAAAAGAUUGCUUUCAUUGAGAGUUGAACUCAAGACCUCCCGCUUACUAAACGGGUGCUCUAACCAACUGAGCUAUGAAAGCUCCUUGAUGUAAAAUUAGAAAUUAAUGUAUAUAAACAUAAGGCACACCUGACAGCCGUGUCAUGACGAGGAAAAUGUACAUGACCAUCGUGCGCAUACGUGAUCCACAGGCACAGGUUGAGCAUGAGGUGAAGAGUGCUGAGAAACAGAACAUCUUGCAAACGGCAGGAUGAUUUUUAACAGGAGACAGGUCUCGAAUAGCGGCGGACCUACAUAGUGCUGAGUGGGUGCCCAUGCCCCGCCCAAUUUUUGAAAAUUAAAUAGAAAUAGCUUGUGUUCUAAAGGAUAUUUUUUGUCAAAUUUGCACAAUAAGUGCCCCACUCCACAAAAGUUGUAGGUCCGCCCCAUGUCACCAAGGCCGCAGAAGCAACUUCAUUGAUAAUAUUGCAAAAUCGUACAAGGUGGAAUAGUUGCACACGCUUCGGAUCAGUCGAUGGAGACCUACCUAUGACAUGAAACCUAAUUUGAGAAGGCCAGAGACAAGCACGUCAUCUGCUUCUUCACCGCCACCACGACUGCCAUGGAAGCAGGGAGAGAGACCACCACUGAACCAAGACCAGGUGCCCCAGAAGCUUAUUCAUCGAGCUAUUGUCACAUCCACUUUUGGCUGCUUCCACCCUCUAUGGAUGGCCAGCUUGGGAUGCAGAAGACGGCAACCGGAUGUGGCUUAAGAGCACCGAUGACAAGCACUUUGAUGGCAUAAUGCCAAACUCCCCUAGGGACACACAUGACCUAACACUACUAUGAACAAGAAAGCUGCAGUCAGCUCUCCCAUCUUUGCCCCAGUGAGCUACACCGGCAACGAAGGUCCAAGAUCGGCCCAGAAUCAAGAUCUGGGAGCCGACUCUCAAGUAGACAAAGGAAGAAUGUUUCUCAAAGCGGUUCUUGUUGGUUACACAGAACUAUGAGCAAGCAUGCAGGUUUAGCAAAAAAAAGUAUGAAAUAAACUUAAAAAAUGUCCAUUCCCUUUGGAUGUACAUAAUAUUGCUACUAUUACCGCAGAAGAGGCUAACCUAUUGGAUGAGCCUUUCUCUCUGAAAGAAAUUCAUGAAGUUGUUUUCCAGAUGGAACAUGAUAAAUCCCCAUGUCUUUAUGCAUUUGCUGCAGAUUUUUAUUAGAAUUUUGGGAUUUAUUCAAACAUGAUAUCAAGAUAUUUGAUUUUUUGGGGGUUCUCAAGAUAUUUCAUGAUGUUUCUAGUCAGAGCUACAGGCCGAUUGUUUAGGUUUUUUUUUAAAAAAACUGGCCGAUUGUUUAGUAGGCAAACUCAGAAAUUACACACAUCACUUGUGCUUUAGGCCCAUAUUUAUGUCUUCCAUCCACAUUUUGUGAUGUGCUGGGUGUGCCAAGGCCAAGUAUAGCUCCAAUGUAACUCUGCCCCUGUUUAUGGUGGAAAUUUGAAAAUAUCUGGAUUAACUAUAAUUUGUUUACUCUGGUUUUCAAAAUAUGAAUACGCAAAAAUACAUCCGAAUUUAGACUAGUAUGUUUACUUAAUGUUAGCUCUGAUUUUUUUACAGAAGUCUUGAAGAACAUGCUUAAUCUUGUUGUGGGUAGAGUUAUAUCCCUCAUUCAUAAAAAGUUGUCAAUGGGGUGUAUAUCAUGGAACCGGUGCUCGUUUUACAUGAAGCCUUGAAUUUUGUGCACAAAAAGAAACAAGGAGAUUUUUUGUCUCCCCUACUCUUUGAUCUUGUUGUAGAUGCCCUUGCUUUGCUGCUUGAUAAUGCUAGGAAUUCUUAGAUUAACUAAAGGACAACUAUAUGACACAAUAGAUGGCGGUGUUGAGAUGCUCCAGUAUGCUGAUGAGUGAUGACAUUGUAUUCCUUCUGAAAAAUAUGAUUUUAGUAGUGCUCAUCAUCUAAAGUUAUUUCUUUGUACAUUUGAGCAAAUGUAUGGACUUAAAAUAAGUUUACAUAAGACUAAAUCAUUUCAUUUUUGUGAUACUAAAGAGAGAGAUCUAGAAUACAGGAAUAUUUUUACUUGCCCUAUUGUGGAAUUGGCAAUGAAGUACCAUGGCAUUCUUGUACAUGGGUCUUGGAUUUACGACAAAUCCUGAAAAAAUCUAGAGGUUAAAUUAGAGAAAAUAUGUGAAUGAUGGCAAGGGGAAAUGUCUUCUAUAGGAGGCAUAUUGGUUAAUUUCAUUCCUGCCUUUCUAACAUACAUUUGUAUACAAUGUCAUUAUACAAGCUUCCUGUUGGCAAUAGGAAAAGAAUGAUCUUUUUUAGACCCAGAAUUCUUUCGCAAGAAGACCCAGGCAAGAAAAGAUAUCAUUUGAUCAGAUGGCCUAAGGUAUGAUAGUAAAAGUGCAUCUCUUAAACACCCCUAGUAGAUUUGGGUGAUCAAUGACGAACCAAUAUAGGCGAUUAACUGUCCAUCAAGUUUAUUUUAGGAAUUUAGCAUUAUGGUUUGAGUGGAACAUCAAUGGUGAAAUGUGCCUCCACAUUUUCAAGAAGUCGUCUCCUCCAAGAGAUAAACAUGUAAUUUACGCUCGCUGAUACCAUUUGCCACGCUCAUGCCACGAGAUGCGUGCAUGCAUGAUCGAUAGUGUGUCUGAGGUGGACCAAUCGCAAGAGCCCUAUGGUUAUGAGCAGCCCUAGGUAUUGAAGGAGGAAGUCCACGCAAACUAUAUUGAGGUGCUACAAAAUGUUGCUGAUGUUGAGAUCACGGCGUCAGAUGAAUGCCACAUCACACUUGCUUUCAUUGAUCAUGAGAAAUGUUACUUAUUUGAAGGCCCACAUAAUGUGUAGAAGGAGCUAAACUCCCUUGCGCACUAGGUUGACGAGGAUGAUUGUGUCGUUUGAGUAUAGAAAAAUCGACGCAUCUUUCAUGACUCUUUGUUGUGCAUAUUAUGUUAUAUUUUAUAGAUUAAUAUUAUAGUUGAUUUAUGUAUACACAGACGACACCAUCCACCUCACGAAUUCAAAGGAGCACAUAAUCUCUUCAUAUGCCCUAAAACUAUUGCCCAAAUUACCCUUCAAAGAAGAAAAGAAAAGGACCCCAAAUUGUAUAGAACACCCUGUUAAUGGGCGGUUGGAUUUGAUUUAGUACCGCACUUCUCUAUGAUCAAUGAGCAUUAAAAUGUACGUAAAAAAAAGCUCACGAAGUAACAUGUCCUUAACCCGACAACAAUUCUUCGGGUGCAUUUUAGUAAUAUGGUGUAACAUUACAUAGCCUUCCCUCCUAAGAAAUCUUUUUCUCGCAAUGAUUUGCAGCAUAUACUCUCUCUUCUGUGAGAAGGAUUUCGAGCAUAUAUACUCAGAUGGAUAGAAUAAUAGAGUUGAGAAUUAGCAUACAGCAUGCAACAAAACAUGUACUGGAGAAACAUGUCCGAAUAUUUAUCUAGUUAAGGUGAGAAUUUUCACAGCUACGUUGUUCGUUCCUUUAUACUCUGCGGGGCCCUCUGAAAUGGUUCGUUGAUUCUUUUCUUUGGGGCUAAUGCUUCGUGAAGAUAAAGAUUCUAUUUCUCUCUUUUGUCCAACUUUCAAGCACCCAAGGAAAUAAAAAGACUAGAAGGAAAGACGUGGAAAGUGAGCUCAACUGAUGCAGCUAAUCGAGAUUCAUAUAUUUCUUCUUGACUGGCACUUUAAUCAUGCGUGAUGCUUAGUCUCCAAGUGGAAAGGGAAUUGGAUCCUUCUGCUACGUAAGCUCACCAGUGAAACCGUGGGAGGGACCUUUUCCUGGAAAUACAGCAGCAAAUAGCAUCAAGGCCAUAUAUCUCCCAGCAAAUGGUUUCCUUAACGCAUACAUUUAGCCCUCCUAUUCAUACAAGUAUCUCCCUUCGGUUUUCCUUCAGUAUGCUGAAUAAGAUAAGAUUGGACAGCACGAAAGUUGGCACCUAUUAUUAUUUUCUGUUCCAACCUUUUAUAGNNNNNNNNNNNNNNNNNNNNNNNNNNNNNNNNNNNNNNNNNNNNNNNNNNNNNNNNNNNNNNNNNNNNNNNNNNNNNNNNNNNNNNNNNNNNNNNNNNNNNNNNNNNNNNNNNNNNNNNNNNNNNNNNNNNNNNNNNNNNNNNNNNNNNNNNNNNNNNNNNNNNNNNNNNNNNNNNNNNNNNNNNNNNNNNNNNNNNNNNNNNNNNNNNNNNNNNNNNNNNNNNNNNNNNNNNNNNNNNNNNNNNNNNNNNNNNNNNNNNNNNNNNNNNNNNNNNNNNNNNNNNNNNNNNNNNNNNNNNNNNNNNAAAUGUUCAAAUGCUCAAGUGAUGAGAUGUGUUUGCCAUCAGAGAAAAAACUAGCCACCGCCAAGAGAAAUCGCAAAUCCGUUGUCGUGAGUCUGUUAUGGUUAUAUGUUGGGGUCCCCGUCUAGCCCCGUCUAGCAUCGUCUGUGGAUGUGUGGAGGUGUGUCUCUGACGAUUCUGUCUUUGAUGGAUUUGCUCAGAUCUGGUCAUCGUCUGUAUACAUUCGUGUGUCUUCAGGUUGGAUCCUUCCAAUCUAGUAUACUCUUCAUCGGCGGCGGUUGUUGUUCUGGUGCGCUGGUCCUAUGGGACCUUAGCACGACGAUUUCCUGACUCUCUACUACAACAAGUUUUGUCCGGCUCCGCCGAGGAAAGGGCGAUGACGGCGACGCGCCUUGGCUCGCUUCAGUGUCUAUAGUCGUCGCUAGAUGGUCUACGGACCUGGAUGUAAUUUUAUUAUUUAUGAUGUUUUCUGUACUGCCAUCAUUGAAGAUGAAUAGGUCGAAAAAAAUUCCACAAAAGAAAACAAAAAAAAAA
rnacentral:lncRNA from 1 species